rnacentral:tRNA from 1 species
GGAGAAAUGCCCGAGUGGCCGAUGGGGCUAGUUUGCUAAACUAGUGUGCCUUCAAAAGCACCGUAGGUUCGAAUCCUGCUUUUUCC